rnacentral:lncRNA from 1 species
CCAUCCGCUCGCCCCGGCUCUGCCCGGAUCGCGGCAGGUGCCCCCGGGAGGAGCCACGCCGGGGUUGGGGGGCCGUACACCGGCAGGUCCUCCUCCUCGCCGAGCUCUUGCGGCUCCGGUGGCACUGGCUGGGCCGGACCUUGGGGCGGAGGCUCGAGCGGUCCCUCCUCUUGGCCCGCCUGCUGCUGCUGCAGUUGCUGCUGCGGUGGUUGCGGCUGCUGCUGCUGCGGUUG